UACGUAGGGUGCGAGCGUUGUCCGGAAUUAUUGGGCGUAAAGGGCUCGUAGGCGGUUUGUCGCGUCGGGAGUGAAAACACUGGGCUUAACUCAGUGCUUGCUUCCGAUACGGGCAGACUAGAGGUAUGCAGGGGAGAACGGAAUUCCUGGUGUAGCGGUGAAAUGCGCAGAUAUCAGGAGGAACACCGGUGGCGAAGGCGCCACUCUGGGCCGAAACUGACGCUGAGGAGCGAAAGCGUGGGUAGCAAACAGG
rnacentral:rRNA from 1 species